rnacentral:rRNA from 1 species
GACGAACGCUGGCGGCGUGCCUAAUACAUGCAAGUCGAACGCAUUUUCUUUCACCGUAGCUUGCUACACCGAAAGAAAAUGAGUGGCGAACGGGUGAGUAACACGUGGGUAACCUGCCCAUCAGCGGGGGAUAACACUUGGAAACAGGUGCUAAUACCGCAUAAUUCCAUUUACUGCAUGGUAGAUGGAUGAAAGGCGCUUUUGCGUCACUGAUGGAUGGACCCGCGGUGCAUUAGCUAGUUGGUGGGGUAACGGCCUACCAAGGCUGCGAUGCAUAGCCGACCUGAGAGGGUGAUCGGCCACACUGGGACUGAGACCCGGCCCAGACUCCUACGGGAGGCAGCAGUAGGGAAUCUUCGGCAAUGGACGCAAGUCUGACCGAGCAACGCCGCGUGAGUGAAGAAGGUUUUCGGAUCGUAAAACUCUGUUGUUAGAAAAGAACAAGGAUGAGAGUGGAAAGUUCAUCCCUUGACGGUAUCUAACCAGAAAGCCACGGCUAACUACGU